UUCCCUUCGGGGAGCAAGUAGAGUGGCGCACGGGUGAGUAACACGUAGGUAAUCUACCUUUGGAUGGGGAAUAACAAUCGGAAACGGUUGCUAAUACCGCAUAAUGCAGCGGCACCUAAUGGUGACAGUUGUUAAAGCGGGGGAUCGAAAGACCUCGCGUCUGAAGAGGAGCCUGCGGCGGAUUAGCUAGUUGGUAAGGUAACGGCUUACCAAGGCUAUGAUCCGUAGCCGGCCUGAGAGGGCGGUCGGCCACACUGACACUGACAUACGGGUCAGACUCCUACGGGAGGCAGCAGUCGGGAAUUUUGGGCAAUGGGCGAAAGCCUGACCCAGCAACGCCGCGUGAAGGAUGAAAUCCCUCGGGAUGUAAACUUCGCAAGAACGGGAAGAAUAAGUGAAAGUUAAUAUCUUUCAUGAUGACGGUACCGUUUGUAAGCUCCGGCUAACUCCGUGCCAGCAGCCGCGGUAAUACGGGGGGAGCAAGCGUUGUUCGGAUUUACUGGGCGUAAAGGGCGCGUAGGCGGCCACCGCAAGUCGAUUGUGAAAUCUCCGGGCUUAACCCGGAAAGGUCAACCGAUACUGCGGGGCUAGAGUGCGGAAGGGGCAACUGGAAUUCUUGGUGUAGCGGUGAAAUGCGUAGAUAUCAAGAGGAACACCUGCGGCGAAGGCGGGUUGCUGGGCCGACACUGACGCUGAUGCGCGAAAGCUAGGGGAGCGAACGGGAUUAGAUACCCCGGUAGUCCUAGCCUUAAACGAUGAAUGCUUGGUGUCUGGGGUUUAUAGUCCCCGGGUGCCGUCGCUAACGCUUUAAGCA
rnacentral:rRNA from 1 species